UCCUACGGGAGGCAGCAGUGGGGAAUAUUGCACAAUGGGCGCAAGCCUGAUGCAGCGACGCCGCGUGAGGGAUGAAGGCCUUCGGGUUGUAAACCUCUUUCAGCAGGGAAGAAGUGCCUGGGUUUUCUUGGGUGUGACGGUACCUGCAGAAGAAGCACCGGCUAACUACGUGCCAGCAGCCGCGGUAAUACGUAGGGUGCAAGCGUUGUCCGGAAUUAUUGGGCGUAAAGAGCUUGUAGGCGGUUUGUCGCGUCUGCUGUGAAAUUUCGGGGCUCAACCCCGAACUUGCAGUGGGUACGGGCAGACUAGAGUGUGGUAGGGGAGACUGGAAUUCCUGGUGUAGCGGUGAAAUGCGCAGAUAUCAGGAGGAACACCGAUGGCGAAGGCAGGUCUCUGGGCCACUACUGACGCUGAGAAGCGAAAGCAUGGGGAGCGAACAGGAUUAGAUACCCUGGUAGUCCAUGCCGUAAACGGUGGGAACUAGGUGUGGGCCUCAUUCCACGAGGUCCGUGCCGCAGCUAACGCAUUAAGUUCCCCGCCUGGGGAGUACGGCCGCAAGGCUAAAACUCAAAGGAAUUGACGGGGGCCCGCACAAGCGGCGGAGCAUGCGGAUUGAUUCGAUGCAACGCGAAGAACCUUACCAAGGCUUGACAUGUGCCGGAAAAGUGCAGAGAUGUGCUCCCCGCAAGGUCGGUACACAGGUGGUGCAUGGUUGUCGUCAGCUCGUGUCGUGAGAUGUUGGGUUAAGUCCCGCAACGAGCGCAACCCUCGUUCUAUGUUGCCAGCACGUGAUGGUGGGGACUCAUAGGAGACUGCCGGGGUCAACUCGGAGGAAGGUGGGGAUGACGUCAAAUCAUCAUGCCCCUUAUGUCUUGGGCUUCACGCAUGCUACAAUGGCCAGUACAAAGGGCUGCGAUACCGCAAGGUGGAGCGAAUCCCAAAAAACUGGUCUCAGUUCGGAUUGGGGUCUGCAACUCGACCCCAUGAAGUCGGAGUCGCUAGUAAUCGCAGAUCAGCAACGCUGCGGUGAAUACGUUCCCGGGCCUUGUACACACCGCCAU
rnacentral:rRNA from 1 species